CGUAGGGUGCGAGCGUUAAUCGGAAUUACUGGGCGUAAAGUGUGCGCAGGUGGCCGCGCAAGUCGAGUGUGAAAUCCCCGAGCUUAACUUGGGAAUUGCGCUCGAAACUACGUGGCUCGAGUGUGGCAGAGGAAGGUGGAAUUCCACGUGUAGCGGUGAAAUGCGUAGAGAUGUGGAGGAACACCGAUGGCGAAGGCAGCCUUCUGGGCCAACACUGACGCUCAUGCACGAAAGCGUGGGGAGCAAACAGGAUUAGAUACCCUGGUAGUCCACGCCCUAAACGAUGAUGACUAGUUGUUGGGGGAGUUAAAUCCCUUAGUAACGCAGCUAACGCGUGAAGCCAUCCGCCUGGGGAGUACGGUCGCAAGAUUA
rnacentral:rRNA from 1 species